GGGGAAUGGAGUAAGAGUUCAGUGCUUUGAAGCGUGUCUGCCAAGUAUUAGGUUCUGAGAAGAAAGUGAUAGCAAGUCCUGAGGGGAAUAAAAGAAGUUUCCAGAACCCACUGUUCCCUGCUUCCAUCCUGGCCUGGAGAGCCUUGCAAGUUAGAGUAUGAAUUCCUGCUGCUUAUCUCCACAGCAAAGCAACUGCUCCUUGGAUAACGCCUCA
rnacentral:lncRNA from 1 species